rnacentral:rRNA from 1 species
GUCUUUUUGUUAUAUAUUUAGAGUCUAACCUGCCCCCUGAAUAUUAAAUGGCCGCAGUAUUUUGACUGUGCUAAGGUAGCAUAAUCAUUAGUUUUUUAAAUGAAAGCUGGAAUGAAGGGUUGAAUGAAAAAAUAACUGUCUUUUUUUAAUUAUUUUAGAAAUUUAUUUUUAAGUUAAAAAGCUUAAAUUUUUUUAAAAGACGAGAAGACCCUAUAGAGUUUAAUUUUUAAUUUUUAUAAAAUAUUUAGUAUUUAUAUUUAUAUAAUUAUUAAAAAUUUAAUUGGGGUGAUUAAAAAAUUUAAUUAACUUUUUUUUUAUUUUUAUAUUAUUAAAUAAUUAUAUGAUCCAAUAUUUUUGAUUAAAAGAAAAAAUUACCUUAGGGAUAACAGCGUAAUUUUAUUUAAUAGUUCUAAUUGAAAAUAAAGAUUGCGACCUCGAUGUUGGAUUAAAAUUUAAUUUUAGUGCAAAAGCUAAAAUAUUAAGUCUGUUCGACUUUUAAAAUUUUACA